rnacentral:ribozyme from 13 species
AUCAAAAGGGAAAAAAAAGGUAAGAUGAAGAAUAGUUAUCUAAUCAUUUCAUAUGUAUAUCUCUCUUAUAUUUCCAUCUUCUUUAGGUCUAUAUUA